rnacentral:rRNA from 1 species
CCUGGCUCAGGACGAACGAUGGCGGCGUGCUUAACACAUGCAAGUCGAACGCUGAAGGCCCAGCUUGCUGGGCUGGAUGAGUGGCGAACGGGUGAGUAACACGUGAGUAACCUGCACUCUUCUUUGGGAUAACGGUCGGAAACGGCUGCUAAUACCGGGUAUUCACUGUCCUGCGCAUGGGGGGUGGUGGAAAGGUUUUUUCUGGUGGGGGAUGGGCUCGCGGCCUAUCAGCUUGUUGGUGGGGUGAUGGCUUACCAAGGCUUUGACGGGUAGCCGGCCUGAGAGGGUGACCGGUCACACUGGUACUGAGAUACGGACCAGACUCCUACGG